rnacentral:lncRNA from 1 species
UCCUUUGUUGUGUGGAGUUUGCAAACCAAAGGAGGCUCACUGGACACCUGCUUCUCAACAACACGAAGGGAACAUGAGCCCGGACCCUAGCGCUACCGAGGGUGCGGUCAGUCACUGGUGCAUUUGGUUGCACAAAAUCGUCAGAUGCAAGGCCUGGAGCACUUAGGAAAACAACAACUUACUCAGCGGAGGGAAACCGCUUCCUGUGUUUGACAGAAUCUGUCGUGAUGAACAUGGCCAACACGAUGGACCUAAUUCUUGGUACCAGAUUCUACUUGGCCAGGAACCCUACCCGUCCAGGACUUUGUCACUGAAAAGCUUGGAACCAGAAUGUGAACUCCCUGCUAGCAGGACCGUGGCUGUCCGUGGACAGCUGUGAUAGAGGAUCCAGAACAG